rnacentral:sRNA from 1 species
CUUGAACUCUGACCUCAAAUCAGGUAGGACUACCCGCUGAACUUAAGCAUAUCAAUAAGCGGAGG